GAUUGGUGCUUGCAUCAUGAUUUACAUUUGAGUGAGUGGCGAACUGGUGAGUAACACGUGGGAAACCUGCCCAGAAGCGGGGGAUAACACCUGGAAACAGAUGCUAAUACCGCAUAACAACUUGGACCGCAUGGUCCGAGUUUGAAAGAUGGCUUCGGCUAUCACUUUUGGAUGGUCCCGCGGCGUAUUAGCUAGAUGGUGGGGUAACGGCUCACCAUGGCAAUGAUACGUAGCCGACCUGAGAGGGUAAUCGGCCACAUUGGGACUGAGACACGGCCCAAACUCCUACGGGAGGCAGCAGUAGGGAAUCUUCCACAAUGGACGAAAGUCUGAUGGAGCAACGCCGCGUGAGUGAAGAAGGGUUUCGGCUCGUAAAACUCUGUUGUUAAAGAAGAACAUAUCUGAGAGUAACUGUUCAGGUAUUGACGGUAUUUAACCAGAAAGCCACGGCUAACUACGUGCCAGCAGCCGCGGUAAUACGUAGGUGGCAAGCGUUGUCCGGAUUUAUUGGGCGUAAAGCGAGCGCAGGCGGUUUUUUA
rnacentral:rRNA from 2 species